GACGGAAGGUGCAAGCGUUGCUCGGAAUCACUGGGCGUAAAGGGUGCGUAGGCGGCCGUGCAAGUCUGGCGUGAAAGCCCCGGGCUCAGCCCGGGAAGUGCGCUCGAAACUGCGCAGCUCGAGUGCCGGAGGGGAGAGUGGAAUUCCUGGUGUAGCGGUGAAAUGCGCAGAUAUCAGGAAGAACACCCGUGGCGAAAGCGGCUCUCUGGAACGGUACUGACGCUGAGACGCGAAAGCGUGGGGAGCGAACAGG
rnacentral:rRNA from 1 species